rnacentral:rRNA from 1 species
UUCGGGGUACACGAGCGGCGAACGGGUGAGUAACACGUGAGCAACCUGCCCCUGACUCCGGGAUAAGCGGUGGAAACGCCGUCUAAUACCGGAUACGACCCGCCACCUCAUGGUGGAGGGUGGAAAGUUUUAUCGGUCAGGGAUGGGCUCGCGGCCUAUCAGCUUGUUGGUGGGGUAACGGCCUACCAAGGCGAUUACGGGUAGCCGGCCUGAGAGGGCGACCGGCCACACUGGGACUGAGACACGGCCCAGACUCCUGCGGGAGGCAGCAGUGGGGAAUAUUGCACAAUGGGCGAAAGCCUGAUGCAGCGACGCCGCGUGGGGGAUGACGGCCUUCGGGUUGUAAACCUCUUUUACCACCAACGCAGGCUCCACGUUCUCGUGGGGUUGACGGUAGGUGGGGAAUAAGGACCGGCUAACUACGUGCCAGCAGCCGCGGUAAUACGUAGGGUCCGAGCGUUGUCCGGAAUUAUUGGGCGUAAAGAGCUCGUAGGCGGCAUGUCGCGUCUGCUGUGAAAGACCGGGGCUUAACUCCGGUUCUGCAGUGGAUACGGGCAUGCUAGAGGUAGGUAGGGGAAACUGGAAUUCCUGGUGUAGCGG